rnacentral:rRNA from 1 species
AGGGAGCUUGCUCCUGGAUUCAGCGGCGGACGGGUGAGUAAUGCCUAGGAAUCUGCCUGGUAGUGGGGGAUAACGUCCGGAAACGGGCGCUAAUACCGCAUACGUCCUGAGGGAGAAAGUGGGGGAUCUUCGGACCUCACGCUAUCAGAUGAGCCUAGGUCGGAUUAGCUAGUUGGUGGGGUAAAGGCCUACCAAGGCGACGAUCCGUAACUGGUCUGAGAGGAUGAUCAGUCACACUGGAACUGAGACACGGUCCAGACUCCUACGGGAGGCAGCAGUGGGGAAUAUUGGACAAUGGGCGAAAGCCUGAUCCAGCCAUGCCGCGUGUGUGAAGAAGGUCUUCGGAUUGUAAAGCACUUUAAGUUGGGAGGAAGGGCAGUAAGUUAAUACCUUGCUGUUUUGACGUUACCAACAGAAUAAGCACCGGCUAACUUCGUGCCAGCAGCCGCGGUAAUACGAAGGGUGCAAGCGUUAAUCGGAAUUACUGGGCGUAAAGCGCGCGUAGGUGGUUCAGCAAGUUGGAUGUGAAAUCCCCGGGCUCAACCUGGGAACUGCAUCCCAAACUACUGAGCUAGAGUACGGUAGAGGGUG